GACGAACGCUGGCGGCGUGCUUAACACAUGCAAGUCGAACGGAAAGGCCCUGCUUGCAGGGUACUCGAGUGGCGAACGGGUGAGUAACACGUGGGUGAUCUGCCCUGCACUUCGGGAUAAGCCUGGGAAACUGGGUCUAAUACCGGAUAGGAGCCAUUUUUAUUGUGAUGGUUGGAAAGUUUUUUCGGUGUAGGGUGAGCUCGCGGCCUAUCUGCUUGUUGGUGGGGUAAUGGGCUACCAAGGCGGCGACGGGUAGCCGGCCUGCGGGGGUGGACGGCCACAUUGGGACUGAGAUACGGCCCAGACGCCUACGGGAGGGAGCAGUGGGGAAUAUUGCACAAUGGGCGCAAGCCUGAUGCAGCGACGCCGCGUGGGGGAUGACGGCCUUCGGGUUGUAAACUCCUUUCGCUAGGGACGAAGCUUUUUGUGACGGUACCUAGAUAAGAAGCACCGGCUAACUACGUG
rnacentral:rRNA from 1 species